UCGGAAGUCGUUAGAUGCUGCCGAGAGUGAGCAGGUCUGGCGGGUGGGGAGGGCUCUUCUGAGCGCCAGACCCGGCGACGCGGGUGAUGUCCCAUCGCCGGCGGCCAGGGUGGUCCCCAGCGGCGCAGCCUGCGGCAGCUAAGCACAGCCCCCGACACUUGGCUGGUGAUUUUGUGUCUUUACUACAAGCCAAGGCUGUAUUUGCAAUUAGGGAAACUGAGGCCCGACGGGGAAGGACCUUGGCCGGAGUCGCACCGAGGGAAGGGUGCGAUCGGAAGCCGCCGUCGGCCGUGCUUCCCGGCCUCCGUGUGCUUCCCGGGAGCUGUCGCUCGGAGGCCUGGCUCCUGGAGCCAACGCGGAGGGCCCGGUUCCGCUAGUGGAUGGAACCCCGGGGCGGGCGGGGCCUCGCCUGCCGCCGUCACUGCCUCUGGAGCCCCAGCGUCGGAUGCAGGCCCGGAGGUGAGCCCCGGAGACACAGGUCAGGCGUAGGCACGAUUCACGGCGGCUCCGCGAGGCGAGCCCUCUUGCUUCUCCCUCCGGCAAGUGGAUACCACCAAGAGAUAAGAAGAUAUGCCACAGGAUAGAAAAUAAGUGUCCCUGGGGCGCCCGGGUGGCUCAGUCGUUAAGCGUCUGCCUUCAGCUCAGGUCGUGAUCCCGG